GGCCUAAUAGUGUAGUGGUUAACAUACCUCUUUCGGGUAAGACCCACUUCUGAGUUUAUGAGUUUAGAGGUGAUCCCUGGUUCGAAUCCUGGUUAGGCCC
rnacentral:tRNA from 1 species